GGGAUAAGCGCUGAAAGCAUCUAAGUGCGAAGCCCACCUCAAGAUGAGAUUUCCCAUGAUUUUAUAUCAGUAAGAGCCCUGAGAGAUGAUCAGGUAGAUAGGUUAGGAGUGUAAUUGUGGUGACACAUUUAGCGGACUAAUACUAAUAGCUCGAGGACUUAUCCAAAA
rnacentral:rRNA from 1 species